UAUUUCUCCGUACGGGGAAGGAUGAGAAGCUUCGACUAAGGUUCGAUUCGAGCGCAGCGAGAAAGCGUUGCCGCAGGCAACGACCCGAAGGGUGAGGAGCGGAGCGACGAAUAAUCCUUCCCCUACCACCA
rnacentral:sRNA from 3 species